rnacentral:rRNA from 1 species
UACGUAGGGUGCAAGCGUUGUCCGGAAUUAUUGGGCGUAAAGAGCUCGUAGGCGGUGUGUCGCGUCGGCCGUGAAAAUCCGGGGCUCAACCCCGGACUUGCAGUGGGUACGGGCAGACUAGAGUGUGGUAGGGGAGACUGGAAUUCCUGGUGUAGCGGUGAAAUGCGCAGAUAUCGGGAGGAACACCGGUGGCGAAGGCGGUUCUCUGGGCCUUACCUGACGCUGAGGAGCGAAAGCGUGGGGAGCGAACAGG